GAUAGAUUACGGUUCUUUUGAAGACCCUGACCUGGAGUUACACUCUGACUUCGUUCCUUUGCGGGAAUGGGACCCGCUGUCGGGGCCUCACGACUGGCUGCUUUUUGAUAUCCCACGGACACGGCCUGGAAGGCAAGCACACUUUCAGGGUUCUGGAUUUUUGUGGCUCUGGAGACAUGCUGAUUCUAGACCGGUGUUCCUGACUGAGGUGUCGUGGGAGAACACGGAACAUCAGGAACAGCAGACCUCUACGUAGUUCCAGCCUCCAGUGAGAGGGAUUGCUAGCAAUGUCCUCCCACCUCUCGACGUUCAUGUUCAGUGACUUCAUGCCUGUGGUUUGUCGAAUUACCAGGUUACUAGCUCAAGCAGACUUACACUGACAGCAAACAGCUGUGGAACGAAGAUCGCUGAGUGUCUCAUCACAUCACUUGGUUCAUCCUGAGUAUGCCUCAGGUGUUUAGUCAUAAAG